GGCACAGGGGCGGCUGUGGCUUGCCUUUCUUUCCAGUCCAAGUGAAGCUCGCAACCCAGAGCUGGGAGACUUGAGAAGGGAAGGCAGGAAAUAACACCUGUGGAUGGAACCAGUGCUGCUGGUUAGUUACUCCAUCACAACCAUGGGGACACCUGGACACAUCGAAGCUCUAGCACACAGCAGGUCCCCUGGUCAUCAAUUUCCGUGUGCAUGGCCUGAUGGAAAAGGGAACAGAGGAAGCAGGAAAAGAAGAGGGAAAACCCCAUAAUAAAGUCAUUUUCAUCCA